rnacentral:rRNA from 1 species
AUGUUCACUACUGGCAAAGACACCGAGUAUAUUACCUUUGUGAAGGCACGUCUUAGUAAGCACUUCCUUAUAUCUGAUCUUGGCCCGCUUUGCUACUUUCUUAGGAUUAAGGUCUCUUCUUGGUCAAGAAAAGUAAUCCAGGAUCUUCUUGCUCAUGUUGCUCUUACUGAUGAGCGCACCAUUGACUCCCAUGUAGCUAAUGUUCACCUUCGCGCUACUGAUGGUGACCCUUUGUCGGCUCUGACACGUUAUCGUCAUCUUGUUGGGAGUCUUCCGGCUAUCACCCGCCGGGAUAUCUCCUAUCAUAUCCAUAUUUUGAGUCAGUUCGUCUCUGCCCCCACCUCGGUUCACUAUAGUCAUCUUCUUCAUGUUUUUUAUAUCUUCAUGGUUUUUGAUAUCUUCGUGGCACGAUCCCUCACUGUAUAUUCUUUCCCGUUCACGUUCAUUACAACUCCCAGGCAUAUUGAGAUGCUAUGUGGGCUAGUGAUCCCUUGGAUUGUCGUUCACUUUCUGCUUCCUGUGCAUUUCUAA